rnacentral:rRNA from 1 species
GUGCCAGCCGCCGCGGUAAUACCGGCAGCUCGAGUGAUGUCCAAUAUUAUUGGGCCUAAAGCGUCCGUAGCUGGGUCUGAAAGUCCAUCGGGAAAUCCACUCGCUCAACGAGUGGCCGUCCGGUGGAAACUCCACACCUUGGGACCGGAAGGCUCGAAGGGUACGUUCGGGGUAGGAGUGAAAUCCCAUAAUCCCGCACGGACCACCGAUGGCGAAAGCACUUCGAGAAAACGGAUCCGACAGUGAGGGACGAAAGCCAGGGUCUCCAACCGGAUUAGAAACCCGGGUGUCC